AGCUUGGUUCCAUUUCCUUACUCACCCGAUAACACCUCCACCUUUUUUCUGGAAGCCCCGUCUGAACACACCAGUCGAUCUGCUCUGCUGUUUUGAAUCCUGUCAUCUGUCCAGAACCAGAUACCGACUACAGUAAGACGUAUUCUUCCUUUUCUGCUGGACUGCAGAGAGCGAGGCCGACCCUGAGUCAUGACGGUGCCUCACUGUGGGUUGGACAAUCCCCCAUUGUUACCCAGACUCAGACUGUGGUGCUGAGCGAAAGACAAAAUGACAAAGAUUUUCUGUUGUCGGUAACUUUAUCUCUGAGUGAUCAUAUUUACAAUAACUCCAGCUGGAAUCACAGCACAGCCGUCGCCGUCUUUAACUUAUGUGUCUGGUGAUUCUACCAGACGACGUCGUGGUUGUGCAAUCAGGGUUUCAGCAGAGCAGUGACUGCUGGGUAAUAUGUCGUCUUAAUGGGCCGUGUUUCAGUCACUGUUUCGUCUGACAGCAGAAACAGUAUCUUAACACAGAUAAAUUCACAAUAAAACUGUUCUCAUUUACAUGUUUUUCUGAUUAUGUGAGAGCAAACAGAUGAAGGUCUGAUACCAGCAAACAAUAGGAAGAAUGAAAAUGCGAAACCAUGAUGUUCUGAAUAUGAGAAUUAUGUUCUAUGUAUAUUAUCGUAUUGUAUGUUCUAGCGACAUUUUUUAUAUGUGAGUAUUAGGGCCACUUGAAGGUAAAAUUUGUAAUUGAAAUCAUAUUAUUAAGAGAAUAAAGCCGUAAUUUUUUGAGAAACAAAAUGAGAUUUUACAAGAAUAAAGUUGUAAAUUUACAAGAAUAAAGAUGUAAAUUUAG